rnacentral:rRNA from 1 species
GACGAACGCUGGCGGCGUGCUUAACACAUGCAAGUCGAGCGGAGCGGCGAACGGGUGAGUAACGCGUGAGUAACUGCCCCCCUCUCUGGGAUAACAGUUGGAAACGGCUGCUAAUACCGGACAGUGGGGGAUGCCUCGCGUCCUAUCAGCAUGUUGGUGGGGUAGUGGCCUACCAAGGCGACGACGGGUAGCCGGCCUGAGAGGGCGACCGGCCACAUUGGGCUGAGAGACGGCCCAAGCUGCAACGGGAGGCAGCAGGAGGGAAUAUUGCACAAUGGGGGAAACCCUGAUGCAGCAACGCGCGGGCGUGAUGACGGCCUUCGGGUGGUAAACCGCUUUCAGCCAUGACGCGGUAGUGGCAGGAGAAGCACCGGCUAACUACGUGCCAGCGGCCGCGGUAAUUC